rnacentral:rRNA from 1 species
AUUGAAUGCUGGCGGUAGGCCUAACACAUGCAAGUCGAACGCGAAAGUCCUUCGGGAUGAGUAGAGUGGCGGACGGGUGAGUAACGCGUAGGAAUCUAUCCUGUAGUGGGGGAUAACGUUUCGAAAGGAACGCUAAUACCGCAUACGCCCCACGGGGGAAAGCGGGGGAGCUUAGGACCUCGUGCUAAAGGAGGAGCCUGGGUCGGAUUAGCGAGUUGGUGAGGUAAAGGCUCACCAAGGCGACGAUCCGUAGCUGGUCUGAGAGGAUGAUCAGCCACACCGGAACUGAGACACGGUCCGGACUCCUACGGGAGGCAGCAGUGGGGAAUAUUGCGCAAUGGGCGAAAGCCUGACGCAGCCAUACCGCGUGUGUGAAGAAGGCCUUCGGGUUGUAAAGCACUUUCAGUGGGGAGGAAAAGCUGGUGGCUAAUGUCCAUCGGCCGUGACGCUACCCACAGAAGAAGCACCGGCUAAUUCCGUGCCAGCCGCCGCUGUAAAAC